ensembl:lncRNA
GGGUGACGUCAGAGACCAGGAAGCUUAAAAGCACUUGCGGCGAAGCCGGCAUUAGCCUUCUGUCUUCAGCAAGCGCUCUGUGUGUGUCUGUACAAAUAUCUGUUGUGUCUGUCUUAUUUACUGUUGUACUGGCUUGAACAAUGUCAAAAGCACCCUCCAAAUCAAGACACUUGGGCGAAGGCAAACAGCAUUUCAAACUGUGUGUUCCUCCCUGCCCAUUUCGGGUGGGGAUACACACAGUUUGUGUGUUGUUUGCCUUGGUGCGGAACAUGCAGAGUCGGCUCUCGAGAGCAGCUUGCCCUGCAUGUUCUCCGCUCCAGGAAGGCUCUUUUUGCCAAGGGAGCCAUCGCCAGCGUUCCCCGCGGCAUUGGUCCCUCUUCCUCCGAGGCGGAGCGGCGAUCUCGCUCCUGGGGUUCGCAGCUGGAUUUGGCAGAGGGAAUGGAGACGGGUGAGUCACUACCUUCUUCCUCACCUGCCAGAUCCAGUGCCUGCUCUCAGGGAUUGGAAGCACGCUCCAGCGCUACUUCCCCCCGGGGAGCGGGCUCGGCGCUUCACCUGUCUUCCUCUAAGGAAGUUGACGUGGUGGGCGUCGAUGAGGAUUGGCCCCCUCAAUCGCCCCAGUAUGAGGAGCUGUUGGAUGUGGUUACUUGUGCCGUGGCCAAGUUGAACAUCGAUUGGCCUGCCGAGAAAAAGGCUGAACCGCAGAAAAGCAAGCUGGAUGAAAGCUUUCUGCGAACUAAGCCGCCACCUCCACGCUGGAGCCUGCCGUUUUUCACCGAUUUGCACACCGAGGUCUGUAAAUCGUGGGCAAAACCAUUCUUGGCCCGCCUCUUCAUUCCCGCUUCUGAUCACUACGGCAACGUAGCAGGGAUGAAUGAGGGUGGUUAUACGGAGAUCGGUCUGCCAACCCUGCCGAAGUUACAGGGUGCAGCAGUCUCCUGCGAGCACCACUCUCAGUUACUGCCUGGAAACAUAGCGGUGCUGAUAGGCUCGCCACCUCCGCGGAGGUCUCUAGAACGGUUAGUUUGGUUGUCUCCUGCCGGUCCGCCGUUACAGGGCACCGAACUAGCUGUUCUGAUUACACCAGAGGUCAGUCUCGAGAGACUGAUUCCCUUAGUAGACGGUGAAAACUUAGUGAAAACUACUGCCAAAUGUGUCUCAAUGGGUCCUGCACACUGUAGAAAGAGGCUACAGAAUCCAGUUUGGUUCUCCUCCACCUCGGUUCAACGGGAUUACUCCCACCCUGGUGGGCCCCAAGCAGGCUCUGGUUAUGGAACAGGAAGUACACACUCUCCUGAGGAAGGAUGCUAUCGAGGUGGUCCCUCCACACGACAGAGAGUCUGGGUUCUACAGCCGGUACUUCAUAGUUCCAAAGAAGGAUGGAGGGUUGCAUCCCAUUUCAGAUCUGGGUCUGUUGAACUGCUCAAUCAAGCAGCUGAAGUUCAGGAUGCUCACUCUCAAACAGGUCAUGUCUCAGAUCAGGUCCGAGGACUGGUUUGUCACGAUAGAUCUAAAAGACGCAUACUUCCAUGUCUCCAACCUUCCCAAUCACAGGAAGUUCCUGAGGUUCGCUUUUGGGGGAAAAGCGAACCAAUAUCGGGUUCUUCCUUUUGGCCUUGCACUCUUAGGCCGGGUUCACACCGCAAGCGGCAGCAGAGCAGAAGCAGCGCGUAUUUUUUUCGGUGCCUAUGUUAACAGAUGAGAGCGUUCACACCGCAUGCAGACUUUGACCAGAGCGUUGCAGGAGCAGAGCAGAAGCAGCAGUGCUGCGAUCGUUUCGGCGCUGGGUCUCUUAGUGCAGGUGGUAAGUAAUUUUAUAGUUUUUGACGCUUUCGCUGGCACACGAGCAAACA